rnacentral:sRNA from 1 species
GUGAAAAGAGACAGAUGAAUAGUCGCAAAUACAUCACGUCCCUUGCAGAUGCAGCAUGGGCAGCACAAGCGUCCUCAAACUGCCCCGCCAAUGUGCUUCAAUUCUGAAUGAGAAGGACCAGCUUUCUGGGUGAGAAAGGAGGCUGUCUCUAUUCAGUCCCUGACCCCU